rnacentral:lncRNA from 1 species
UGAAGGUGAAUUGCAAGACUGAUGGUAUGAUUUUAGUGGAGCUGCUUGCACCACUAGCUGAAAGGUUUUCAGCAAACUUUUUGGAUUCUAUGAUUUACCAUAAAAGUUGUUUGAGGCUCCAGUUAUGACCUUUCUGAUAAUGAACUAUGCCUUUAAGUCAUAUUUCAUAGCAGCAGUUUAGAAAAAAUAAGCAAUCAUCAUUUAGAGGCUUUAGAAAACAACUAUUCAAGGAGGUUUUUUUUUUUUUUGAUGAAAACUACUCAAGGAGUUGCCUCUAGAUCUAGGUUCAUUACUUGACUACAUCAUGACCAACAUC